rnacentral:lncRNA from 1 species
AUGGGUAUGCUGAAUAAUAGGAGGGAGAGUGCGGGAAGAGGCAGGACCGUACCGAGAAAAGCUCGGCAGUUCCAGAACUCAGCACAACAAUCAAAGGAUAAAGUGGUAAUUAGGCCUGAUUAUCAUGCAAGGCAGCCCCGGUUAAAUUGGAAUGUAGCCGGAGAGACGAAAGGCUGGUUGGAGAGUUUGCUAUGCAGGAGACGUGCUUUGAUGUCUGCAGGGAAGGUUGUGUUUCAUUCAGCCUUCCAACCAAAAAAAUGUUGCAGGAGCAAUAUGAAACCUUCUAAGAUGCAGCAGACGGCAAGCAGAAGUGGAGAGCAAGUGGCUGGGUCCGAGUUCUCCCGUGAGUGUGUGUGUGUGUGUGUGUGUGUGUGUACUUAUAUGCUGCUUUUCUCAGAUUUACUGCUCCAGCCUCUUGGAGAUGUCAGAAGACAGGAAAACAGAAAGGAAUACACUCUCCAACUAUUAACUCACCGUCCUUGGCUUGGCAGGUUCUUAGGACAGGGGAGAGAAUGUGUCGAAGCUUGGGGCAGCCUUGUUACCUGCUGUGGGGAGAAAAGCAAGAGGAAAUGGAGGCUCGUUGCUCAGCUAGAUGCACUCCCCAAACCAAGCCACAACUUUCAUUUCCACGCAAGGGAUUUUCAGUACAACUUGGUAUUGGGAGAUGAUCAACUCUGUACUAAAUCACGGACAGGAAAACAAUAGUCAGGUUUGUAGUAAGAUGUCAUAUUAUCGCCUUACUUAUUCACGGGGCACUGGCCUGGAAGGUGGAGUCUUUCUGCAAUCUGGUUUGGUUCCUGUAGAAUCUAAGCACCUUUCCUCAAAUGAAAUAUGUAGAUUUGCAAGUAUAAAGGCUAGGAUUAUUCACGGGGUGUUCACCAGAGGAAGUGAGAUGUGAAAUCUUGAUGUUGCUUUAAGACAGUGCGUGAAAAUACAGAAAUCCGACGUGGAAGACUAAAUGCAGAUUCUUUUUCUCACAGGUUUCCUCUCACCACUAUGCUCUACCAUCCAGCCACACAGUUCAAUAUUUCUUUUCAAAAGGGAUGGAGUAAGUUGCUGAUCAUGUUAUCUUGAAGGAACCGAAAGAGCUUGUAUUACAUAUCCAACACAUUGCUUCUUCGGUUUAUCUCAGAUUUUUCCUCUGCUUUUGCAAUAAACAAUCCACAAAAUCAGCUGUUUUUGCUGUG